rnacentral:piRNA from 1 species
UAAACCAAAAUCGCACGGUGCGUUCAUU